UCAAGUAAUUAAGUGCAUGUGGUGGAUGCCUUGGCAGUCAGAGGCGAUGAAAGACGUGAUAGCCUGCGAAAAGCUCCGGGGAGGCGGCAAAUAUCCUUUGAUCCGGAGAUGUCUGAAUGGGGGAACCCACCUACUUUAAGGUAGGUAUUGCAACAUGAAUACAUAGUGUUGCAAGGCGAACGAGGGGAAGUGAAACAUCUCAGUACCCUUAGGAAAAGAAAUCAAUUGAGAUUCCCUCAGUAGCGGCGAGCGAACGGGGAUCAGCCCAUUAAGUUAUGUGUGUUUUAGUGGAACGCUCUGGGAAGUGCGAACGUAGAGGGUGAUAUUCCCGUACACGAAAGGGCACACAUAAUGAUGACGAGUAGGGCGAGGCACGUGAAACCUUGUCUGAAUAUGGGGGGACCAUCCUCCAAGGCUAAAUACUCCUGACUGACCGAUAGUGAACCAGUACCGUGAGGGAAAGGCGAAAAGAACCCCUGUGAGGGGAGUGAAAUAGAUCCUGAAACCGCAUGCAUACAAGCAGUGGGAGCACCUUCGUGGUGUGACUGCGUACCUUUUGUAUAAUGGGUCAGCGACUUAUAUUCAGUAGCGAGGUUAACCGUAUAGGGGAGCCGUAGAGAAAUCGAGUCUUAAUAGGGCGUUUAGUUGCUGGGUAUAGACCCGAAACCAGGCGAUCUAUCCAUGAGCAGGUUGAAGGUUGGGUAACACUAACUGGAGGACCGAACCCACUGUCGUUGAAAAGCCAGGGGAUGACUUGUGGAUAGGGGUGAAAGGCUAAUCAAGCCUGGUGAUAGCUGGUUCUCCCCGAAAGCUAUUUAGGUAGCGCCUCGGACGAAUACCAUAGGGGGUAGAGCACUGUUUCGGCUAGGGGGUCAUCCCGACUUACCAAACCGAUGCAAACUCCGAAUACCUAUGAGUACUAUCCGGGAGACAGACUGCGGGUGCUAACGUCCGUAGUCAAGAGGAAAACAAUCCAGACCGCCAGCUAAGGCCCCAAAAUCAUAGUUAAGUGGGAAACGAUGUGGGAAGGCAUAGACAGCUAGGAGGUUGGCUUAGAAGCAGCCACCCUUUAAAGAAAGCGUAAUAGCUCACUAGUCGAGUCGGCCUGCGCGGAAGAUGUAACGGGGCUAAAACUAUGUGCCGAAGCUGCGGAUGUAUACUUUGUAUACGUGGUAGGGGAGCGUUCUGUAAGCCGAUGAAGGUGUGUUGAGAAGCAUGCUGGAGGUAUCAGAAGUGCGAAUGCUGACGUGAGUAACGACAAAACGGGUGAAAAACCCGUUCGCCGAAAGACCAAGGGUUCCAGUCCAACGUUAAUCGGGGCUGGGUGAGUCGACCCCUAAGGCGAGGCCGAAAGGCGUAGUCGAUGGGAAAAUGGUUAAUAUUCCAUUACUUCUGUGUAAUGCGAUGAGAGGACGGAGAAGGCUAAAUCAGCCUGGCGUUGGUUGUCCAGGUGAAAGGAUGUAGGCAUGUAUCUUAGGCAAAUCCGGGGUACUCUAUGCUGAGAUCUGAUAGCAAGCUGUACUUGUACAGCGAAGUGGUUGAUGCCAUGCUUCCAGGAAAAGUCUCUAAGCUUCAGUUACACAGGAAUCGUACCCGAAACCGACACAGGUGGUCAGGUCGAGUAGACCAAGGCGCUUGAGAGAACUCUGCUGAAGGAACUAGGCAAAAUGGUACCGUAACUUCGGGAGAAGGUACGCUGUUGUUGGUGAUGGAACUCGCUUCCUGAGCUGACGACAGCCGCAGAAACCAGGCCGCUGCAACUGUUUAUUAAAAACAUAGCACUCUGCAAACACGAAAGUGGACGUAUAGGGUGUGAUGCCUGCCCGGUGCUGGAAGGUUAAUUGAUGGGGUUGGCGUAAGCGAAGCUCUUGAUCGAAGCCCCAGUAAACGGCGGCCGUAACUAUAACGGUCCUAAGGUAGCGAAAUUCCUUGUCGGGUAAGUUCCGACCUGCACGAAUGGCAUAAUGAUGGCGGCGCUGUCUCCAGCAGAGGCUCAGUGAAAUCGAAAUCGCUGUGAAGAUGCAGUGUACCCGCGGCUAGACGGAAAGACCCCGUGAACCUUUACUGCAGCUUGACACUGAACUUUGACCUUACUUGUGUAGGAUAGGUGGGAGGCUUUGAAGCUGGAACGCUAGUUCCAGUGGAGCCGUCCUUGAAAUACCACCCUGGUAAUGUUGAGGUUCUAACUCUGUCCCGUGAUCCGGGACGAGGACCGUGUCUGGUGGGUAGUUUGACUGGGGCGGUCUCCUCCUAAAGAGUAACGGAGGAGUACGAAGGUGCGCUCAGCGUGGUCGGAAAUCACGCGUAGAGUAUAAAGGCAAAAGCGCGCUUAACUGCGAGACCCACAAGUCGAGCAGGUACGAAAGUAGGUCUUAGUGAUCCGGUGGUUCUGUAUGGAAGGGCCAUCGCUCAACGGAUAAAAGGUACUCUGGGGAUAACAGGCUGAUACCGCCCAAGAGUUCAUAUCGACGGCGGUGUUUGGCACCUCGAUGUCGGCUCAUCUCAUCCUGGGGCUGAAGCAGGUCCCAAGGGUAUGGCUGUUCGCCAUUUAAAGAGGUACGCGAGCUGGGUUUAGAACGUCGUGAGACAGUUCGGUCCCUAUCUACCGUGGGCGCUGGAAAUUUGAGAGGAUCUGCUCCUAGUACGAGAGGACCAGAGUGGACGAACCUCUGGUGUACCGGUUGUGACGCCAGUCGCAUCGCCGGGUAGCUAUGUUCGGAAGGGAUAACCGCUGAAAGCAUCUAAGCGGGAAGCCUACCUCAAGAUAAGAUUUCCCUAGGACUUUAUGUCCUCUAAAGAGCCGUUCGAGACUAGGACGUUGAUAGGUUGGAUGUGGAAGCAUAGUGAUAUGUGAAGCUGACCAAUACUAAUUGCUCGUGAGGCUUGACUAU
rnacentral:rRNA from 1 species